rnacentral:lncRNA from 1 species
GCUUCUGCCCAGUCUGGUUCUUCGGGGUGGCCCCAACUCGGAUGCAUCUAGCUCCUUCCCGAUCUCCACGCCAACUCAGACCGAGGUCUAUGGGACAGAACCUGAGUGGGUAUUUUCGGGUUUGUUUGAUUUUCUUCACUUGGAUGCAUAGUUUCACUGUACAGCGAGCAGACUGGCUUUCAAUUCCCUGAGCUGCUCCUGCCUCGGCCCCCUGAAAGCGGAACUCACAGAUGAGCGUCACCACGCGGGAACCUACUUGCUGUUUUGAAGGUGUGACACAGUGAUUUAGUUCCUUACCCCGUUCUGCUGCGACGUCCUCAUUCUAAAUGGGUCAGCAGUCUGAAAAGGACACGGCUGUUGAGGGGCACAACCCCGACCCCAGCUCAGAUCCCUAAACUAUCCAAGAUGACACGAAGGCUUGGAGGACACUCACUAAUGAUUCUAAUCUCCGGAGGGUGCUAGGGACUUCACCUGCGGCCGUGGACCAUCUCUUCGGGUAGUGUGCGUGCACUGUAAGAGUUGUGCACUUUGCCCAACCCUCCUCUGCCGCAUUUGAAACUACUUUGGGUACAUUCUGCUGCUACUUUUUCUGUGAGAAGGCUUCCCGCUGCUGUUGAAAAAAGUAAAAAAGAAGGAAAGUAGGAGGGAUCAGGUUUUCAUUUCGAGGUUCUGAACGUUCUAUUUGACCCUAUCUUCUCUGGGAAUCGUGAAAAGGUGACUCGUUCUGUAACAUAGGUGGCAAGGAAAAGGGGCCUUCGGAUCAGAAUGCAGAACUCUAAGCCCAUCCUCCAGCACCAAGUCUGCCCGGAUUCGGCUAUUCUCCAUGACAAUAAUGGAUUAAACCUCUGAAAGUGUAAGCCAGACCCAAUGAGAUGCUUUCCUUUUGAAGAGCUGCGGAAUGGUGUCUCUUCAUGGCAAUAAAACCCCUGAG